AGAUUGUGUUCCUCAGAACUACGGCAUCAGAUGUGAACAGGAUUGUUCUACAGAUUGCCUGGGUAGUCGAUGUGAGAAUGUCAACGGCUUCUGUGAAGGAUGUAUUGCUGGGAAGUACGGUAAUACCUGUGAAAGGAACUGUCCUGAAAAUUGCAAGGACACGUGUGAAAAGGAAACUGGACACUGUACAGAAUGUAUUCAUGGCAAGUACGGAAACACAUGUGAUCAGAACUGUCCUGGACAUUGUAAAGAUAUGUUGUGUGAAAAGUCCACGGGA